AUUGAACGCUGGCGGCAUGCCUUACACAUGCAAGUCGAACGGCAGCACGGGUGCUUGCACCUGGUGGCGAGUGGCGAACGGGUGAGUAAUACAUCGGAACAUGUCCUGUAGUGGGGGAUAGCCCGGCGAAAGCCGGAUUAAUACCGCAUACGAUCCACGGAUGAAAGCGGGGGACCUUCGGGCCUCGCGCUAUAGGGUUGGCCGAUGGCUGAUUAGCUAGUUGGUGGGGUAAAGGCCUACCAAGGCGACGAUCAGUAGCUGGUCUGAGAGGACGACCAGCCACACUGGGACUGAGGCACGGCCCAGACUCCUACGGGAGGCAGCAGUGGGGAAUUUUGGACAAUGGGCGAAAGCCUGAUCCAGCAAUGCCGCGUGUGUGAAGAAGGCCUUCGGGUUGUAAAGCACUUUUGUCCGGAAAGAAAUCCUUGACUCUAAUACAGUCGGGGGAUGACGGUACCGGAAGAAUAAGCACCGGCUAACUACGUG
rnacentral:rRNA from 1 species